GAUGUGAGUUGAUUACUAGAACCAAGUCAACUGUGUCAAGUUCAGUCACUUUCGCUACUUUCUAAUCAAAACAUUUCGGUCGUUCAUCAUCAAAAUUCAAAGUUUUUGUUUUGUUUCGUUUAAAUUUGUCGCUUUCAAAAUGAGUCGGAUGAGUUUCAGAUCGGAUUCGCAAAUAUCAAAGACCUUAAUCGCAAAAUCAGCUCUCCGGCGGUAUGUGGUUAAUCAAUUUUCCGAUUUUGAUGGUACGGUUUCUGUGGCGUGCAGAGAUUUUGAAAAACUUAGAACAUUAAAUCCAGAUCGGUUCGAAUCUCGGGAAGAAAAUUUCGGCACAAAGUACGAUUCGUAUCAAAUAUUGAAGGAUGAAAGUUUGACCUUACUCCAUCGUUCGCUUAAAAAGUCUUCAAGCACGAAAAUAAAAAAGCUUGAACAUCGGUUCAUGGACAUUUUUGCAAAAGCUGGACGUUUAGUCUAUGCUCUGGUUGUAUUGGCGAGAAAUCCUGAACUGUAAAAAGUGAAGAUAAGGUGCGUCCGGCUGUAAUACCAACAAAAUUGCAGUAAAUUUUCAUUAAAUUGUUUUAAAUUCA